AGUAACUGCGAGUGAAGCGGGAAAAGCUCAAAUUUAAAAUCUGGCGGUCUCUGGCCGUCCGAGUUGUAAUCUAGAGAAGUGUUAUCCGCGCUGGACCGUGUACAAGUCUCCUGGAAUGGAGCGUCAUAGAGGGUGAGAAUCCCGUCUUUGACACGGACUGCCAGGGCUUUGUGAUGCGCUCUCAAAGAGUCGAGUUGUUUGGGAAUGCAGCUCAAAAUGGGUGGUAAAUUCCAUCUAAAGCUAAAUAUUGGCGAGAGACCGAUAGCGAACAAGUACCGUGAGGGAAAGAUGAAAAGAACUUUGGAAAGAGAGUUAAACAGUACGUGAAAUUGCUGAAAGGGAAACGCUUGAAGUCAGUCRCGUUGGCCGGGGAUCAACCUUGCUUUUGCUGGGCGUACUUUCCGGUUGAUGGGUCAGCAUCAAUUUUGACCGUUGGAUAAAGUCUAGGGGAAUGUGGCAUCUUCGGAUGUGUUAUAGCCCUUGGUCGCAUACAACGGUUGGGAUUGAGGAACUCAGCACGCCGCAAGGCCGGGUACUUGUACCACGUUCGUGCUUAGGAUGCUGGCAUAAUGGCUUUAAUCGACCCGUCUUGAAACACGGACCAAGGAGUCUAACAUGCCUGCGAGUGUUUGGGUGGAAAACUCGGACGCGUAAUGAAAGUGAAAGUUGAGAUCCCUGUCGCGGGGAGCAUCGACGCCCGGACCAGACCUUUUGUGACGGAUCCGCGGUAGAGCAUGUAUGUUGGGACCCGAAAGAUGGUGAACUAUGCCUGAAUAGGGUGAAGCCAGAGGAAACUCUGGUGGAGGCUCGUAGCGAUUCUGACGUGCAAAUCGAUCGUCAAAUUUGGGUAUAG
rnacentral:rRNA from 1 species